rnacentral:rRNA from 1 species
UUCAACGGCCGCGGUACUCCUAACCGUGCAAAGGUAGCAUAAUCACUUGUCCUCUAAAUAGGGACUUGAAUGAAUGGCCAAAUGAGGGCCUAACUGUCUCUUAGGGCUAAUCAAUGAACCUGCUCUUUCAGUACAAAAGCUGAAAUAAGACCAUAAGACGAAAAGACCCUGUGGAACUUUAAAUAAAACCCAUAACUAAAUGGCCCUAUUUUAAGUUGGGGCGACUACGGAAUAAAACACAACUUCCAUGCCGAGGGCCACCUGCCCCACAAAGACCAACACAUCAAUAUGACAAAAAUCUUGAUCCAGUAACAACUGACUAACGAACCAAGCUACCCCAGGGAUAACAGCGCUAUCCUCUUCAAGAGCCCAUAUCGCCAAGAGGGUUUACGACCUCGAUGUUGGAUCAGGACCCCCAAGUGGUGCAGCCGCUACUAAAGGUUCGUUUGUUCAACGAUUAAUGUCCU